GGUGGUGGUGUGGUAAGGAAUUUUAGUUUUUGUGGGGGAUGGACUCGCGGCCUAUCAGCUUGUUGGUGAGGUAGUGGCUUACCAAGGCUUUGACGGGUAGCCGGCCUGAGAGGGUGACCGGCCACACUGGGACUGAGACACGGCCCAGACUCCUACGGGAGGCAGCAGUGGGGAAUAUUGCACAAUGGGCGCAAGCCUGAUGCAGCGACGCCGCGUGAGGGAUGACGGCCUUCGGGUUGUAAACCUCUUUCACCAGGGACGAAGCGGAAGUGACGGUACCUGGAGAAGAAGCACCGGCUAACUACGUGC
rnacentral:rRNA from 1 species